AGACUUGUCCUCUUUUUGGGGGGCUGUCCAGCCUUGUCCUGGGGAGUUUAUAAAAUCCUUUAAAUGUCCGGGGUUUUGUAUGGAAGUUUUGAGUUUGUGUAGCGUGGACUAACUGAGUUAAAAGCAUGUAAAAAACACUGGACCUGACCCAAAACCCCUCAAAAUUUACUAUGCAUGUCUUCGACCCACUUUGUCGUGUCCUCUUUGUGGCGAUUCAGAAUAUGGUCACCCUAAGCUACUAGCAUGGUAGUAAAAGACCCUCUACCCAGGACUAAUCGACACACACUUGCACCAUCUGCUCUGUGCGUUAAAUUUAGGAGAUUUGCAUAUCAGCGUCACCUUGUAAAUAUAGAAAGUACUGCUUUGUCACUAUGCUUUCAUUUUUUCAUGCAUGGUCAUUGGAUUCUGAUGUUUUAGAAACACAGAGCAGGAAAAAUCGGAUUGUCACAUCCCUCACAGAUCAGCUUUUUGAGUCGGGCUUCUUGCAGAAGCGUGCGCUGAUGAAGGGCCUCGCAGAGUGAUGCAGAAAUAAAUAGGCGAGACCAAUGGAGGGCUGUCUGCCGAUUGAUUUUCAGAGGCGAUCCUUGUAUCAUCCUUGGCUCUGAUAUCCUAUCUGCCUCCAUGUCGGCCCCCUGAUACCCAUCUGAGAUGAAAAAGCCAGACACAGUGCCGUGUAAUAGUGCUUUGAACCCGGGGCACUGGGGCUUUUCAAUCAUACCCCAGAUGGAAUGAAUGCCCUUGCACUCGGCCAAAAAGCGUCAGCAUUAUUUAUCCUCUAACCACUGUCUCCUGCCUGUGGGAUUGAAAAAUAAAUGGGCACGUUUUUGUGGUAUUUCUUUAAUAAGAAAUCACAUCAACGCAGUGUGUCAAGAUGAGCGCUUUUGAUGUAGCGAGGUGAACUUCCUUUUGAAGAAAUCCUCAGAAGUUCACCUUCCCGGCUGUCUUUGUAGUUUCACAGGAGAUAUUCAGUCAUUGUUCGCUGUUAUUAUUACAUUUAGACUCGGCUCUGAACACACAUUACUGCCACGCUGUUUCUGACCGCCUGUAAACGUAGCUAAACAUCCGGUUUAAUGUGCAGAAAAUGUAUUUCUCACUUAGAACUCCGCUGGAUUGCCGACGAUCCCACGUGACACCAUGAAUAUUGUUUACAGUUUCUCAGGAACUAUACCGUGUGUCUCUAUGGGAUAAAAAAUGUUCCAAAGCUUACCCUUUUGGCGAUCUAUCAAGGGUUUCCAGUCAUUUCUACACCUGCCACAAGGUUUACAGUCCAGCCACAAAAAUAGGUGUUUGAUCAGAGAUGUUUGAUGGUAAAUUCGCAGUGAUAUACCGGUGAAAACAUGAUUAUUUAUCAUAUCGUUGUGAUUAAAAAAAGAUCACUAAUGUCUUUUUCUGUCAAACUUUCGACCAAUUACAUGGUCUCAUAUUCUUCUUCUAUUGUUCUCUUGACGGUAGUGUCCAAUAAGAGGCAACCGAAGAUCAAUAAGAAACAAAAGAGUUCCCUGCUUGUCUGCAAAGUAAGAAAUAAUGGUCUUCAAUGCUUGAAAACACACAAAGAAGAGAUUAUGAGCAGUCUGAUGAGGCCCUCUGUCUCAUCCCAGACAGGAACUGCUUCAAGGAGUGGCAUAAACAACUGUAAAUAGCAAAAAACGCCUGGAAGAAUUAGAGUAAUAUGUAAAUAGUUUCUGUUGUGUGUUUGGUCCAGGCCCAGUAUUUCUUCUCCUGACAGCCAAGACUUGAGAGAAUAAUGUGCAGGUGAGAAAAGGCUUGGUCACUGUAGAUUUAUGUGUUUUUUGUGCACAAAACUGUUGGUAUCGUCGUCAUCGUCAUUUUCUUCCACUUAUCUGGGUCCCAGUUGCGGGGGCAGCAGCUUCAGGAGGGAAGCCCAGACGCCCCUCACCCCAGCCACUUCCACCAGCUCCUCUGGGGGGAUUCCCAGGUGCUCCCAGCCAGGCGAGAGAUAUAGUCCCUCCACCUGGUUCUGGGCCGACCACGAGGUCUCAUGUCCAGAACACCUCUAACGGGAGGCGUCCAGAAGGCGUCCUAACCAGAUGCCCGAGCCACCUCAGCAGACUCCUCUCGACAUGACGGAGCAGCGGUUCUACUCUGAGCGCCUCACGAGUGUCCGAGCUCCUUACCCUGUCUCUAAGGCUGAGCCUGGCUACCCUGCGAAGGAAACCCAUUUCGGCCGCUUGUAUCCACAAUCUUGUUCUUUCGGUCAUUAUCCAAAGUUCAUGGCCAUAGGUGAGGAUCAGCACGUAGAUCGACCGGUAAAUUGACAGUCUCGCCUUACGGCUCAGCUCUUUCUUCACCACGACUGAUUGGUUAAGCGAUCUGCCUGUUGAUCUCCCACUCCAUUCUACCUUUACUCGUGAACAAGAUCCUGACAUACUUGAACUCCUCCAUUUGAUGCAGGACCUCCCCUCCAACCUGGAGAAGGCAAUCUACCUUUGUCCUACUGUUGGUAUCAAUGUCCGUUUUUGUUUUUUGGUUGAUUUUGGUGGCUCUAAAUCUACUGUCACAUUCAUUUUACACCAUUUUUGCACCCAUAAACUGACAGCUAAGGGUGUAUAUAUUUGCUAUUCUUGAAAGAAUCGAGUUGCUACAUCGAUUUAAAAAAAAAAAAGAAAAAAAGAAAACAGGCCGACCAAAAAUAGCUUCAUAUAGCUGUGAGUUCUGAGGGUUUACUGGAGAAACACUUAUUAGGAAGUUUGACUGAGCGCCAACAAAUUAAAUGAACUCACGUUAGGCGUGCAUUCAUGGCCAACAAAAUUACUUCUCAGUUAAUCAGCAGAGGCCACUAUAGAGGCCUCCAAAUCAUGGAAAGAGCAAAUCAUUACAGGCCUUCCUUUCACUGACUCUGUGUUUGAGUCUCUUUAUUGGCCUAGAUUGCAGUGCAGUCAGGGCGUGACGGUUAAGCCUCGCCUCACUCCCCACUGCAACUUUGAAGUCAGGUCAGGAAAACUUGCCCUUGUGUUUGGGCUGGAGAGCUGCAAAAUAUUGCUUCCCCUCCCUGUGUCUUAACUUUCCGAGACAUUUGGAAUCAGAGAACGCCGUAACCCCCCUGCCACCAGCCUAAUGCGGGGCCAUGUGGGCUGAUUUUGUGGGAAAUCUUUGAAAUGGUAAUAGGGUUGAGGGAAGCAUCGUCUUUCUCUCCAACAGAGCAAAAGGAGGAGGAAGAGGCGGGGGCUUUCGGAAGCAGCGCUCGAGGUCACAGAGAUGUAAUGAUGGGCCGGGAUGAGCUGGGGUUUGCCGGAGGAUUACCGUCUGUCUUGGUAGCUAGCGGGGCUCUCCAAGGCCAAUGUUUCAAUCCCCACAGAGCAGAUUUGCUCCCACUGUCAAUAUGAAAACAGAAGGGCAGCAUGUGUGCUAAAAAAAAAGGCCCUCGCUAUGAUGGGAUGUGUGUGUGUGUGUGCAGAGAAAUCCUUCGUCCAAGAGAAAAGCAAACAAUGGACUAUUUUCAGCCCUGUGGUGGUACUUAGACGAUUGCAUCGGCUGUGACCUGCAUUCAUAGCAUUAGGAAUAAAUGUGGUUUUAACAUUUGAUAAAUAACAUCUGAUAAAACCAAACUCAAUCAUAUUCAUAUGUUGUUUUUGCUCUUCAUCAUUUUUGUCCCACAAGAGGAACGCUUUAGUGCAUGAAUACAUUUCAAUAAAAAUGAUAAAAACAAGAAAUCCCUGCUGAAAGCAAAAUUCCCUUAAACUAAUAAAGUUUCUCUUUAACCAAUACUUCUACAAGAUGUGUUUAUAUACCGUGCAUCUUUAAAUAAUAGGUUGGAAUUUUCCAGAGUAACAUUUUCCAACAUUAAUCACUUCUUUUGCAUGUCGAACCGCCCACCCAAACUAGUUAAUUCUCUGACCAAAACAAUAAAAACCGCAAUAAACUUCCACACAAAAGAGGAGCUGAUUGGUUGUUUGUAGUGGGUGAUUCAGUGAACUGAGAGAGAAGCGCUCCUGGACGUCCCGAGCGCUGAGGUCGACGAGGACAAACAAUUACGAGAACAUGUACACAGAGCGUGUUGGAUUUAUUGUUCUGGGGGUUUUGCAGAUUCCAUAAAGACACUGAAGAUUGAUCACACCAGAGGUUUUCGUUGAAGCGGUGCAGCUGCAACUUAAACACUACCCUCGAACGCCGACCUGAGGAUACAGGUGUGGUUUCCAAAUCCUCUCUGUGUCUGUCAUGGAUUUGAAUCAUCAUGUCUCAUUAGAGUCACUCAUACAGUCGUUUCUGGGAGUCUUCGUCAUACCGUAGGUUCUUCUAGGUUUCUGCUGCAGACGUUUCACCAGGAACCUCCAGCUUAAAAAAAAGAGAAACGAGUCUGUUAGACAAAAAUUUAAACUAGGGCUGGAACUUGAUUUAAAAAAUGUAUCUAAUUCAUCGAAUUUUAAUCGCAUAUAAAUAUUUGACCUGAGAACAGUGAGAAUCAUUUUUUAAAAAUCUGGUCGAGUGUGGGUUAGGUGUGGAUCGCUGUAGUCGAAGUCAGACUAAUAUUAGCUUCCAUACUAGCUGCAACAUGUUUAGCAUCCAGGUGGUACUGGAGGCUCGACGUGCUGUGGUGAUAUGCAAAUUCUUUUUUGCACAGUUUGCAAAAAAGCGGCUGCUGGAAGAGAGAGUAGGUGAGUUGUGUUUAGUCUCUUUGCUCAAGAAAUUAGGCAAAGUUAAAAAGAUGUUUGAUGGCUAGUACUAUGGCUGGGACCCUACAUGUACUGUUGAUGAAGUUAGGUGCUGUUCUGAGCAUUAUUUGUGGCUAUAGAGUGGCGUUUUGGUUGAGCGUGUGGCUCUCUGUUUUGCUAUCGUGCGGUUGUUACUAAAGUUGGUAUAACUAGAGAAGCAAGCGGUCGGCAACAUUCAUCUCUCGAGGGGGUGUCUAACUCGGUGUUACAGUGUGUUUGACCCUAACUUAAUUUUACGCCGGAAUAUCUCUUUAAUCAAUUCCAAUUAACGUAUUAAAAUCCCGGCCCUAAUUUAAACAUCAUUAUGAAUGCAUGAAGUCUGUUUGGUUGCAGCUAUUGUCGUGUUUAAAGACCAAACGUCAAAUAUCUCCAAUUCCUUAGCAAAAAAGAACAAAAAAGUCUCUUUUCAGUCUGGAUAAGUCAGCCAGUCAUUUUGAGUGAAGUGGCCCUUUAAACUCUGAGACCUGAGACCUGGCAUUGACAGCUCUGCCCUCCAGCUACAGACUCCCCAUUUAUUACUGUGAACGGACAAUCUGAGAGGUAGCUGAACCUUUGACCGCCGCACGGUCUCGGCGGGAUGACAAAGAGGAGAUGAAGAGGUUGUCGGUUGUCUCGCCGCACCAGCAAUCUUCCUCACCUCCUCUCCCUCCGCGCUCCCCCUUCAAAAAUCUGGAAGCCAUCACUGCUCCUUGUAUCUCCCUCUGGCUAGAUAUGAAGUGAGCUCACAUUAUAAAUAUCUCCAUUCUGUUUGAUUGCCCUCCAAAUAAGUCACACUGUUCAAACAAGCAGAGAACGCUGCUCCGCUGCCUCCCAUUGUCUGGCUUUGAGCUAUCGACGCUGCACUUGGCGAUUUAUUAUAGGCACCUUUCCCAAGUGACCGAUAAGCAUUGUGAUGGAUGCAUGAUUUGACUGUGCCAAAAUGGCUUUAUCUCUCCCCUCCAAGCUACUAUCUCCAGCCGGCUGAUGAGCUGUGCAAACUCUCCCUCUCUCCUUUUUUCUCCCUUUUUUCAUAUGGAAACCGCUGAGAGUUCUAUCCUCCAAAGAGCCCAACCCACCACAAACAAAUGUCUUCUAUUAUUUAGUGAUUUAGUUAUCCAUGCACUUUGUGGGUUCCUCCAACUCUUCCCAUUUAACUUGUGCAUGCUAAUGUGUGUUUUCGCACGUCGGUGUAAAUGACAUAUGCAUUUGCCCACGUGCGGAAUUCACAGCGUCUGAGCCGAGCUGAAAGCAGAUUCUCCCUGAUGCUGUUUUGCAUUGUUGUUUUGCUCUCUGGGCGCAAUAUCCAGCUAUUUAGCAACCCGACUAUCAAUCAUUGCAAUUGUUGCUGGCAAACUUCAAAGCACAUUCGACUUGCUGCUCAUUUUCUUUCUAUUAGUAACACUCAAGUGGAUAGAAAUACAAAGGAGAAGAAAUUACAGAGGAUGGUGCGCCGUUGUGUGUGUGUGUGCUUUCUUGUGGAGUGUGGGUACGAAGAUGGAAAUUAGCAGCAGAGUGACAAGAAACAUCUCAAGCUAAAAGGUAGAACGUGAUGUAUUUUCCACUCUGCUUGAUGAUGUUAAUUUGGUUUUGUUCUUUUUUGUUUGUUUGUUUGAGUACAUGGCUGUCUGUCAUUGUUUGGUAUGAACUCAUAUUAUCUUUGCCUCUGUGCUCUGACAAACACUGGCUGAGCUAAGUUGGAGUAAUGAGUUUUAUCACUGAGCGAUUACGUUUUUCCCUUUCACUCAAAUACAAAACUGUGCACAAGACUGCCUCAUGAAGAUUGCUUCAGUGAUAUUUUGGAGUAAAACUAUUAAACUCAGAUUCUGCUGAAAGGCUUCGGGCUCUAUCGUACACGGGGGCGCGAAGCGUGCAGCUCUCGGGUCAUUAUUUUCCACUGAAUUCACACCCAGACUUAAACUGAGGUGGUAAUAAUGUCGGUGUAUUGAGUCCAGAGUCAGAGGGAGAAUCAGUGAGGACAUCAUCUCAGCCAAACACCGCAAACAGAGGCUGUCACCAUCAUGAGCACUCUCUUUGAAGUGCACGCUCUUAAAGACCCACUCAGACCCGUGUUUUUCUUGUUGUCUACAUGUUCGGAUUGCAUUUUUCUGAUGCUACAGGACCAGUGCUGGGCGAUAAAACCAUAAAAAAUACAUACUCAAAAUUAAUUUCCCUCAGUAUCGAUAUAAAACAUGGUCGAUAUGCUUUUUCGAUAGUCCGCAUCAAAAAGGAGAAAAGGGCGUUCUCCAGGAUUUAGCUAGGCUUAGAGCGGCAAGGUGUACGGAUACAGAUGUCCAGUUUAGUGGUGGAUUUAUUGACUGUGGUUCGGCAGAUAAAGAUGCAAAGCAACAAUCACUACAGCUUACUCUGUACAUAACAUGAACAUCAAGUAGCGUGAGAUAGCAUUAGCUAUAUUCAUGGUAAACAAUACAUUCACACAAUAUAGCAUUGGACUUUGACAGUAAAACAUCAUAAAACUCACUUUUGGCAUUUACACUCAAUAAACCCGUGAUGUGAAGGUGAAAAAAACAGGUAGGAGGAAAUUAACGAACUAUCCAGGAGGAAAACUAAACUUUCACAGCUGUUGUAUCUCACACACAGGUGCGGUGCGUUCAAUCGCGUUGGAACACCUUUGGUGCGUUCAAGAGCAUAGGAGAAAUGAAAACUCACCGUCAAACACAAUAUAACUGAACGGUAUCGCAAAAGCAACGGUUACAAACCCCGAGUGGAGUAAGGAGCCCAUGGCGCCUGUGCAGCCGAAACAGCCGACCGUUCAGUCCGCUUUCUCUAGCGCAACGCCUUAAAACAAAACGUCAGAGUCACAAAGACGUCACAGAUGCAGUAGCUCAUUGUAUUGCAAAAGACAUGCUCCCCAUAAGCACUGUUUUAUUUUAUUUUUUAAUAUUGUGAUAUAUAUUGAUAUCGACUGAUAUGAAAAAAAGAUGUCAUGAUAAACUUUUUCCCAUAUCGCCCAGCCCGAUACAGGAUGUAUGAUGAAAAAAAUAAGGGCAAAAUUGUAUUUCUCAGUGUUUCUGUAUUUAAAUCUAGAGAAUCUUUAGAUUUCCUAUGUAGCAAAUCCAAGCCCCGCCCCCAGUGCCCAGCUGUGCAGGCCAGACUCGGAGAAGUAGAGAGGACGAUCGUGGAACAAGUAUGUGCGUUAGCGGAUUGCAAUACUUGUAAGAAUUUAAUUAUGAUGUUAGUUUUCUUCAUGUCCCCAAAGACAUUUUUAUCCAGGAGCUGAUUAGCUCUGAUGUUACCUGCUACCUUUACUACACUGGCAAUGUUAGGCUGCGAGCUAGCGUGAAGAGCAGCGCUGUCUCCGCCCACGACUCAGAGGCGAAUUGCUAAUGAGCUACUGGAGCUCUGCAGAAGAAAAGUCCUUGAAAAUGACACAGGUGACGUGAAUUUGACUAAAAACUUCAUAUUCACAACUUAAAGUCCACUGAGGACACUUUAAAUAGUAAAAUAAAUGAUCCGAGUGGGACUUUAAACAAUCAGGGGUAUCUUUUACAGUCCUGAACCUAUCAGUGCUUCAAACCAUCAUAUCUUCAUUUAUUAACAAAGGGUUCACAGUAUCCUUAUUGCAUGCAGCACAGAUUAGAGCCCGCUGCAAGAUAAGUGCCAAAACUAAUCCCCUAUACUUUUCUUUAAUAUCAAGAGUAAGAAAAGUUAGUUAUCGCUGGAUCCUGUCUGUUAAUUUAGGAAGCUUCUUUCAUCUCUGCCAUGCAAGAAGUGAAUUUUAGGUUGCAGGACAUGCCAUUUAAAGCCCAGAGAAGAUAGUGUGCGUUUUGCAAUAAGGCACAAUAAGUGACAGUCACUUACACAGUGAUGAAGGUACGAACAUUUGAUGCAGGAAUUUUACUUGAAGGCUAAAAAAGAGUCCUCGGUUAUGAUAGCAGCUUCCUGCAAUGUGAUUAUUGUGUAGUUGUUUAAACAAUAUCGUCCUCAGUUUAUCAUGAGAAAAUCAUCUAAAACAGGUGAAAUCUCUGCAGAAGAGCUACUGGGCUUUAUUCAAUUUGAUUUCAAGUCGGUGCAGACAGAGCGCUGGCAGAGCAGAGACUUAGCCCUUAGAAUGUGGAGAGAAAAAUAGAUCCAUACUUUUGAUUAAUCUUUUAGACCUUCCAACAAGACACCUCACAGUCACUCCAAACACAGGCUCUGGUUUGAGGCCUGCCUAGUCAGCCUGUGCAGUAAUCAAUCCAUCCUUGUGUUUAUAGUGAGUGUGUGCAGACACCUGUGCACAAUGCAAUCAGCCCUGUGUUUAUUUGUCUUUGGCAGAAAUGCCUCCCAGCAUGGAGACACAAACAGUCCAGAUACGCAGCAUCACUCACCUCGUCUGCUGUCCUCUUCUUCCUCUCCGCGGUAUUAAGUAUCGCUCACUGCUACUCCAACACUGUCAAACUCAAUUUCAAAGUUUUUCAUCUGCCAAAUCCAGCUGCAUUUUCCGGCUCACAUUCGUGAUCACGCUGCGGUCGGGAAACAGAGCCAGGAAGAAGUCAGCGUGAUUGGUGCAUCUCAAUGAGCCGGGGUAGCAUUUCAGAGUCAGCUAUCAUUCUCGGAAAACACCCGCCACGGCCCGGUUCUGGCUGCUGUUCUACAAAGGAAAGUCAAUAAAACUCUUAAUUAAAAGAACCUGACCUAAAAACACCGAAUACUUUCAGUUACUGACAUAUUUACUGUGAUUUAACUCUGAAUUACAUGUUGUUUUUUUUCUUUUCUGGGGGAAUCUAAUUUCCUGUCAUCGUGUAUUAGUGACUAAAGAGAGGUCAAGCUUAACAAAGUGUUUCCCCAACACACUGGGAGCGAUAUCCUGUCAAUGCAAUAACUGCUCUUGCAUUCUGCCACCGCUGGGAAACAUAACGGAUUUGCCGGGGACGCUAAUCAAAGCAAGCUGAGCACGAGGAGUGUGCGUGUGUAAUUUACGACAUGUUAAAUCUGGCUGUCUUACUUCCCCUUAAUGCAUUUCCCUGCAUCUCCACCCUGAUAUAAAUUUCAUUUAAGCAGAACAGCGCAGCUUGGCCCAUGGAUUUCUAACCAUGGGAAACAGUGUUAUUGUAAUGAUAAGAAUGCUCCAGGCAACUUAGUCCAUACAUUAUUUUUUUUUUUUACUCCUCCUGCUUGGUGUUUGUUUACCUUGGAGAUGAACCCGCUGAGUCCCCCUCUGGCCCGGGGGCUGAGCCUUCCCUUCUUGUGGAAAGAGAUGUGUUUUCUAAAUACAGAAGGAAAGAGCGAGACAGAGUCAGUUUACCUUUAGUUAAUCUGUUCUAUUGUUGGCGCCCACUCUUCCGUAGCGUCGAUCCUUUGCUUUGUGUGUCCAUGUUUUGAUUCUGUACGCCGCUGCCAAUGGUCAUUACGGUAAUGCGUGCCAAAAUGGAUGCACAUGCCUCAUUACAACUGUUGAAAUCAAUAUUUUAAAUAUGCUGUUUAUCCAACCGAUGAAACAACUCACCACAUUAUAAAGCAUGAUUACAUCGCAGUUAACGACUCUAAAACAAUGAGGGUUUGAUUUUACUGUUACUUAACUAAAUAAGAGUGAGUCCAGUGAGUGAGACGCUUGGCUGCUUUUUUGGUUUGCAUUGAUCCUGUUGUAAAUACUCUCACAUACCUUCCUUUCAACACUCUCAUUAAAACUAUCCUUAGUUGUAAAGUAGUGACAUUAAAAGAGAAAAGAGCUCACAGUGAGGGAGUGAGUUAUUCUAUUUUCUUUGGUAGCCUUCGAACAUGUAAUAGCAGGAUUCUCAUAGUGGGAUCCAAUUUUUGUUUGAGUGCAGUCUCCUGUAUUUUACUGAAACCUGGUUGAAUCAAAACAACUCAGACUCCAGUGUGGAUCUACCUAGCUUCACUCAUAUUAGGUCAGAUAGAAAUGCUAAAGCUAAAGUUGGUGCUAAAUCUAAUGAAAGAUGGUGUAAUGCUGCAUUUCGGUUACCUCUGGAAGUCUAUUGUCGGAGCUGGGAAUGACAUUGGUGUUUGUUAUGUUGAAAGCGUUCCAGUAAACAAGUCGGAAAACCAAGAUGGACGCCUAUUGUCAGCUGUUGUUAGCUGUUGCUAGCGGUUGUCAGCUGUUGUUCGCCGUUGUUAGCUGUACCAGUUGUAAACAACGCUGUUACUCUUUACUGUUGAUGCACUGUGAUGCCAUCUUGGAUUAUGACAUUGUCGUCAAGUCGGGGUUGGUGAGGAUCGUCCAACUUUCCAAGUUGGAAAUCCGAAUUAUGAUGUUAUGAUGUUGUCAUCGAGUCGGGGUUGGUGAGGAUCGUCUGACUUUCCUGAGUCGGAAAUCCGACUUCAGGGGGGCAUUCCAGAUGAAUUUGCGACUCGGAGCUCAGAAAUCCCGACUUCCGAGUACAACUGGAACGCAGCAUAACUCAGUUGCUUUUUAGCCAUAUUGUGCUCUGAGCUAGCCUGUCAAUACUUGUAUUCAUCCCACCUAUGGCAACAGCCGAAGUUCCGUGCGAUGUUCUCUAUGAUGCAGUUGGUGGGACACGGUGGAGGGAUGCGCACUGAGGAAAACAGAGAGAGAUUCAGAAGAUUUUUGUACCUGCAGCCAUCAAACUUCUUAAUUCUUCUAUAAAUAGAAGACGAGAUGAGAAGUUCUUGUGUUGUAUUAUUAGUAUCAUAUAUAUUCAGGAGACGUACAGGCAUAAUAAACUCAGAGUUGCCCAAGUACUAUGAUUU